AAACCAACAGGGAUUGCCUCAGUAACGGCGAGUGAAGCGGCAAAAGCUCAAAUUUGAAACCCUCGGGAUUGUAAUUUGAAGAUUUGGCAUUGGAGAAAGCUAACCCAAGUUGCUUGGAAUAGUACGUCAUAGAGGGUGACAACCCCGUCUGGCUAACCGUUCUCCAUGUAUUGCCUUAUCAAAGAGUCGAGUUGUUUGGGAAUGCAGCUCAAAGUGGGUGGUAAACUCCAUCUAAAGCUAAAUACUGGUGAGAGACCGAUAGCGAACAAGUACUGUGAAGGAAAGGUGAAAAGAACUUUGAAAAGAGAGUGAAAUAGUAUGUGAAAUUGUUGAUAGGGAAGGAAAUGAGUGGAGAGUGGCCGAGGUUUCAGCCGCCCCUCGUGGGCGGUGUACUGCCGACGCCGAGUCAUCGAUAGCGAGACGAGGGUUACAAAUGGGAGCGCCUUCGGGCGUUCUCCCCUAACCCUCCACACUGCCACCGACGACAUAAUCCACCCAUUUCAC
rnacentral:rRNA from 1 species